UCUUACUCUUCCUCAGUAAAGGCAGCC
rnacentral:sRNA from 1 species